rnacentral:lncRNA from 1 species
UUUCCAAAAAAUAUCUCAAAGAAUUUAGAAGAUUCUACUCAAGUGGUGAGAGUCAAAUUUCACUUACCUUUGUUCUCAGUGACUGCAUUAAUCUGAUUAACGGAUUCCUCCCAUGUUCUGCUCCUGAUUCCACCACUAGCUGAUUAAUCUGAUUGAAGAAUCACACAAAAUCUUCCUUUCAGUUUACCCUUGCUGCGAAUUUUCUUCCUCUCCCUCUUUCCCUGCAACCUGACGUCCUCUUUUAAAGUGAAGGAGGAACCAUCAGAAUCGUUGAGGAUGGCAACGAAAUCCCUAAAUUAAAUAGAGGUUACAAAAU